UAUACACAUAUAUUUAAAUAUACAAAGUAAAAUGAUGGUGAGGAGAAUAAAAAGUAGCUCUCUUGUUAGUGAUAGAGAAAGGAGAUGCAAAACGGAGAGGUAAAAGAAAAAUUUGAACUGUAAAGAUAAAUUAUGCGUGUGAAGCAAAAAUCAAUAUCACUGCCAGUUUAACAGUACGCAGCUUAAACAAAUCUGUCGACAAAAGCUAGCAGCAAAACACACACCGUAUGCUUUAUUUUUAAAAAGUAACUUUUUCCCCAACUCUGACGUAAUACGUGUAUAUUUUUACCCUCGCAUACACUCGAAAUGUUUUAUCACAGAAUGCUAUACUACUUUCGUUUCCUUGGGACGAGCCACGGGAGCUUCUCAAUUUUGACACAGAGACGACCGGCGGUUCCGCUUCUACCAUAAAAGCCGUCCAUAUUUCCGCUCGUCGUGGCAUCGAUCCAACGUGGCCACUCUUCCGUUUAACGCCCGUGUAAAUUAACAGCUUAACGAAUAUCGACGAAACGUUAACGGCAGACCGAAGAUCGUGAAAUUUCGUCGUCAUCGGCCCAAUGUCCGCGAUUGUCCGUCUGCGGCAUAACGAGAUAUCUCGUUAGCAGCCGCAUCUCGCGGCCGACGUCACCGGCCAAUGACGUAAUUAUUAAAUCGCAGAUCUUUUUUCGCACGCGCGCGCGGAACGUUAUCUCGCGGAACGGGACGAAGCAAGGCGAGGCGUUACACGUGGAAUCAAUUACGCGAACGUCGCUCACGUCGAGGCGCCGACGGUCGGAGAAAGCGACUGUCCAGCGAGCGGGCGAAGGCGAGAAAUCGCGCGCGUUUAAUUAACGGCGCGAAUCCACGAUCGAUCGUCGCUGUCACGAUAUCGAUGUCUAAUCCAGCCGAUCUCGCACGAUCGAGAAGCGCGCUACCGUCUCUCUUCCGUCCGUGCAUGCAUCUCGUGCGAAAAAUCCUGCGGACAAAAUUCAAUUUCGAAACGCGCUUCCUUCGAGCCUCCAAGUCGUAUGUACAAACCGGACGAAAGAACGGAGCUUUUCUUAAUUUCUCCCCAGUUUUUUCCCUUCUACUUUCGCACGACGUUUGCAUAUUACAUGCUUCGAAAGGAAAAAAGAAAUGUUUUAAUGCAUAUGACAGGACGGUAAUUGAAAAUUUUUUCAUUAACAUAUUGGCCGCGAGCAAUCGUAACGAAAUACUUUUUAUCGACAAUUUCGUUAUUAAAUGACCAUCAAUCUGGAUACGUGCGACGGGAACACAUCUCUCUUCUCGACAUUCCGACAUUAGUGAGACAAGCUGUGUCACGCGUCUAACUUUUUCGGCGAGUAAUGCGAAUAUUUUGUUUUAUUGUUUCCGAUAUUAAGCCAAGAAGAUGUAACGUUCGAAAGCGCGAAGUAACUUAUCGCGAUAAGAAUUUCGGGACGAUGAAGAAUCUAUGCGUGUUUCGUGCUAAAAGUCGGGAAUAUAGUUUCGUUUGUUCGUAAAACAUUGCUUCAUAAAUAAUUGACUGCUGCAUCUACUAAUCACCAAUAGGUUUCACCAAUAGCUCAGCCAUAAAAUGUCGAUUAAUGUCGACGUAAAACUUAAUCUUGAUUGCGAAAUAUUAUCAAAUUGUAUAUACGAUAGAAUCGGCUUACCUCGCGCGAUCGCAGGAACGCUGCGCUUUCACUUUUGUUUUCGAUUUUAUAUACACGACAUAUAAAUGUCUCAUGUAUAUUUACAUUAACGCUGGAAUUCAUUUGUAAACGGUGUUGUAUGAUUGACAACGCGCUCACGUAAAAUCUCGGAAAAUUCACGGUCUGUCGAGAACACAACUCGGCUCGGUAAAGUUGUUGAUACAUGAUAUUGGCUCGGUCACAACAACAUGCACGCGGACGAAAACGAAAGUGUGUGAGAGAGAGAGAGAGAGAGAUAAUUUAUACUCAUCCCGAUUAGAAAACGUGCCAAAUGCUCGCCUUCGUUGUUCUUUUUAGAAGAAAUUCGACAAUUUCUUUAAGGCGACUCUCAUCAAUAUCGGCGUUUCCAAGGGUCCACGUCGCUUUUCUCAAGCUUUAUUCACAUUGUUGCUCCAUUUUGACGACUUUUCUACAAACGGCACCGAGAGUCUGCACUCUUAACGAUCUCGAAGUAAAACCAUCUCGGCAAGUCUCGGACAUGUUUACGCGAAAACACGGGGACAACGGGAAAAACACCUGCUCACCUGCUUCCCGCGUAAAUGUACACGCACUUUCGAGUUUUAACGUUCAUCAACUCGUUAGCAGUCAAAUUUUAAAUCUAAUAGCCGCGAGGUUCGUUAAGUAGAUUAAGAGACUUCCAUAACUUCGCUGUAAAUUACUCUUAUGGCGGGAAAUGCUAUUACAUUUCCCCCCGAGCGGGAACUUUAGAAUCCUAUUUCUCAGUUUUGACAUAAAGGCACUUAGGUCCUUUUACAGAAAAGUCGUCCAUUUAAAUGGGACAAUGAACACUCCCGGUAGACAAAAGGACGCGACGCUUUAUAACGACGACACUUUUGCUACCCACUCGUUAUACCGACGGCGUUGUCAAUUACGUCAUCUCGCAGUCGCGUUGUAAAUGGGCGAUUAACGCGUAUGGAGGUUAAAUAUUUUAUACUUGCGAUGUGAGCACACACGAAGAAUGGCGCGAGCACGGCCUGCCUACCAGCCAGCGCGAUGCGUUUUCUCAGAGGUGUAAUAACGUGUAACAAGGUCGAACAGGUGAAUCGAUACGGUUAUUAUGUCUCUAUUAGUAUUAGGUGGCGAGCAUUUUUAACGGAUACGAGGUAAGGUAACGAUAUCGCGAAUAUGGAACACGUACGUCUCGCGACGUUCGAGAUGAAUAAACCUGUAAACGCAACGGAACUGAAAAAAG